GAUGAACGCUGGCGGCGUGCUUAACACAUGCAAGUCGAACGGAGUUUUAGUAAUUGAUUGAUUAAGCUUGCUUUUGAGAGAUUUUACUAAAACUUAGUGGCGGACGGGUGAGUAACGCGUGGGUAACCUGCCGUAUACAGGGGGACAACAGUUGGAAACGACUGCUAAUACCGCAUAAGCGCACAGGACCGCAUGGUCCGGUGUGAAAAACUCCGGUGGUAUACGAUGGACCCGCGUCUGAUUAGCUAGUUGGUGAGGUAACGGCCCACCAAGGCGACGAUCAGUAGCCGGACUGAGAGGUUGACCGGCCACAUUGGGACUGAGACACGGCCCAGACUCCUACGGGAGGCAGCAGUGGGGAAUAUUGGGCAAUGGGCGCAAGCCUGACCCAGCAACGCCGCGUGAAGGAAGAA
rnacentral:rRNA from 1 species